rnacentral:rRNA from 1 species
CCCAUAUUCUCUCCGGAAAUAGCGUUAAUGAGGGGUUCCACGUGCAGUACACUCGAAGUGGGUAAGGCGUGGCGCGCCGCCCGGUGCAGUGCCAAUCCUGGCGGAGGGUGGGCAAACGCAUGUAUUUGAGAGGCCCACCCGCUUAGGAGGCGAUUCCAACGCCGACCCCGAGAGGUUCCGAUAAAUGAGGCUGACGCAUGCGCAGAUACGCGCCACUUGCUUCAAGUGUGAUCCAUGAUUUGCAACUCACAUUACUAUCGCAUCGUGCUUUUUUAUCAGCAGACCAAGUCGUUGUUGAAGUUUGAUUCAUCUCAAAGCUACAGGCGCCAGAAGCUCAGCUUAUAACAAAACCCGCGAGGGUAUACAAAAAGAGUUUUAGGUUGUCUCGGCGGGCGCCUUGGUCGGGGUGCGACGCACCCGGGGCAGAGAUCCGCCGAGGCAACAGUUUGGUAACGUUCACCAUUGGGUUUGGGAGUGUAAACUCGGUAAUGACCCUUUGGAGGGGGGGACCUGCGGAGGGAUCAGUUGCCGCGUUUAUAACUCCCAAACCCAAUGUGAACGUUACCAAACUGUUGCCUCGGCGGGAUCUCUGCCCCGGGUGCGUCGCAGCCCCGGACCAAGGCGCCCGCCGGAGGACCAACCUAAAACUCUUUUUGUAUACCCCCUCGCGGGUUUUUUAUAAUCUGAGCCUUCUCGGCGCCUCUCGUAGGCGUUUCGAAAAUGAAUCAAAACUUUCAACAACGGAUCUCUUGGUUCUGGCAUCGAUGAAGAACGCAGCGAAAUGCGAUAAGUAAUGUGAAUUGCAGAAUUCAGUGAAUCAUCGAAUCUUUGAACGCACAUUGCGCCCGCCAGUAUUCUGGCGGGCAUGCCUGUCCGAGCGUCAUUUCAACCCUCGAACCCCUCCGGGGGGUCGGCGUUGGGGAUCGGCCCUCCCUUAGCGGGUGGCCGUCUCCGAAAUACAGUGGCGGUCUCGCCGCAGCCUCUCCUGCGCAGUAGUUUGCACACUCGCAUCGGGAGCGCGGCGCGUCCACAGCCGUUAAACACCCAACUUCUGAAAUGUUGACCUCGGAUCAGGUAGCUGCGAAUCAUGCCCGACUGAACUUAAGCAUAUCAAAAUCGCGGAAGAAAAUGAUUACGGAGUUUUCCAACUCCCAAACCCAAUGUGAACGUUACCAAACUGUUGCCUCGGCGGGAUCUCUGCCCCGGGUGCGUCGCACCCCGACCAAGGGCCCGCCGGAAGACCAACCUAAAACUCUUUUUGUAUACCCCUUCGCGGGGUUUUUUAUAAGCUGAGCCUUCUCGCGCCCUGUAGCUUUCAAAUGAAAUCAAAACUUUCAACAACGGAGCUGUGGGUUCUGCGUCGAUAAAAAAGCACGAAUGCGAUGAGUAAUGGUGAAUUGCGAAAUCAUGGAAAUCA